rnacentral:rRNA from 1 species
UGGAGGGCCAAGUCUGGUGCCAGCAGCCGCGGUAAUUCCAGCUCCAAUAGCGUAUAUUAAAGUUGUUGCGGUUAAAAAGCUCGUAGUCUGAGUUCUGUUCCGGACUGGCCGGGGAGGUCACCGCCCGGUGCUUGCCCAGGUCAGGUUCCGAACAGCUUUACCCGCCGCUUUACAGCGUGCGGGGGCCAAGCCGGUUCUGCCGGGGUGCUCUUGACCGAGUGUCCCGCGCGGCCGGCCUGUUCACCUUGAACAAAUGAGAGUGCUCAAAGCAGGCUACUCUUGACACUAAAGCCCGAAUGUUAACUGCAUGGAAUGAUGGAAGAUGAUCUCGGUUCCAUUUUGCUGAGUGGUGGGAAUCCGAGUUAAUGAUAAACAGGGACUGUCGGGGGCAUCCGUACUACGACGCGAGAGGUGAAAUUCAGUGACCGUCGUAGGACGAACAACAGCGAAAGCAUUUGCCAAGAAUGUCUUCGUUGAUCAAGAACGAAAGUUAGAGGAUCGAAGGCGAUCAGAUACCGCCCUAGUUCUAACCCUAAACGAUGCUGACCAGCUAUUCGCCGUCGUUAUUCCCAUGACGUGGCGAGACGCCCCCGGGAAACCUCGAGUCUUUGAGUUCCGGGGGUAGUAUGGUUGCAAAACUGAAACUUAAAGGAAUUGACGGAAGGGCACCACCAGGAGUGGAGCCUGCGGCUUAAUUUGACUCAACACGGGAAACCUCACCAGGCCCGGACACCAGAAGGAUUGACAGAUUAAGAGCUCUUUCUCAAUUUGGUGGGUGGUGGUGCAUGGCCGUUCUUAGUUGGUGGAGUGAUUUGUCUGGUUAAUUCCGGUAACGAACGAGACUCUGGCCUACUAACUAGUGGGUGGGUGUUCCGGUAAGGGGCCCCACCCGACAAUGUCUUCUUAGAGGGAUGAGCAGCGAGUAUAGCUGCAGGAGAUUGAGCAAUAACAGGUCUGUGAUGCCCCUUAGAAG